UACGUAGGGUCCGAGCGUUGUCCGGAAUUAUUGGGCGUAAAGGGCUCGUAGGCGGUUUGUCGCGUCGGGAGUGAAAACCUACGGCUUAACUGUGGGCUUGCUUUCGAUACGGGCAGACUUGAGGCAUGCAGGGGAGAACGGAAUUCCUGGUGUAGCGGUGAAAUGCGCAGAUAUCAGGAGGAACACCGGUGGCGAAGGCGGAUCUCUGGGCCAUUACUGACGCUGAGGAGCGAAAGCGUGGGGAGCGAACAGG
rnacentral:rRNA from 1 species